rnacentral:rRNA from 1 species
GAUGAACGCUGGCGGCGUGCCUAAUACAUGCAAGUCGAGCGAACAGACGAGGAGCUUGCUCCUCUGACGUUAGCGGCGGACGGGUGGGUAACACGUGGAUAACCUACCUAUAAGACUGGGAUAACUUCGGGAAACCGGAGCUAAUACCGGAUAAUAUAUUCAACCGCAUGGUUCAAUAGUGAAAGACGGUUUUGCUGACACUUAUAGAUGGAUCCGCGCCGCAUUAGCUAGUUGGUAAGGUAACGGCUUACCAAGGCAACGAUGCGUAGCCGACCUGAGAGGGUGAUCGGCCACACUGGAACUGAGACACGGUCCAGACUCCUACGGGAGGCAGCAGUAGGGAAUCUUCCGCAAUGGGCGCAAGCCUGACGCAGCAACGCCGCGUGGGUGAUGAAGGUCUUCGGAUCGUAAAACUCUGUUAUUAGGGAAGAACAACUGUGUAAGUAACUAUGCACGUCUUGACGGUACCUAAUCAGAAAGCCACGGCUAACUACGUG